rnacentral:lncRNA from 1 species
CAAAGGGGAGAGAGGGCCAGGAGGGAGAGGAUUAAGAAUUACCCAAGUUCCAUAAACAUGACCGGAGACAGCCCUUAGGACUGGAAUGUGACAAAAGGAAAGUGCCUGGAGAAAUGCUGUGUCUGCAGGAGGGAGAGGGGAACCAGCCAUAACCGGGCUCUGGGCUGUGAGUUUUACAUACAUUCACUACGCAUGAAAAACCCUGGGAGGACCGAGCAGAAGCCGGACUCUGAAGUCUGAAGUCACACGGCUAAUAGAUGGAGGAGCUGGGAUUUCAUUGUGCGGUUCCCAGGGCCCUUGCUGGCAGGAAGAGGCAUCCAGAUUGCAGAUGUACUUGUUCCUGUUCCUGGCAAGACCCACUUCCCACUGUGACUGACAAGUUUUGGACCCAGUGGCAACGUGGAGUAGAAGAAAGAGCAUGGAUUUUAGAGUGAGACUGGCUCCCCGACUCAUUAGCCUGCAAGUUCCUUAACCUUUCUAAGAUGCAUUUUCCUCCCUUAUUUGUAAAAUGGGGUUUACUAAGAUCUACCCUGAGAAGCUAUCGUAAGGAAUGCCUAAGCUAGUACUGGCACACAGCUGCAGCUCAAUGAAUGGUAGAGAUUUUCCAAACGCAUUGACAUCCUGAUUUGUCAAUCAGUCUUUUGUGAGUUCGUCUUGCAGCCAUGGAGUAGCAACAGAGUCAAGGUGAGAAUUCCAUCAGGUUCUUAGAUCUAGACUCUGAGAUGCUGACCUUUGGGAACGCCCUGAGAGAAGCCUGGGAGCUGGAUCCCUGGAGGGACAGGAGGUGGUCUGAGGCAGAUGGUGAACCCAGAGGAGUGUUGGAGGAGGAGAACUGAGGGCUAGGGUGCUUGUGAGUCCCCAGCUCUGAGGAGGCCCCAGGAGGCCAACCAAGCUGAAGGCAGGAGCCUGGGUACCCAGGAAUGGCAAGGAAGCCAGAGGCUGGGCCAGCCCCAUCUCCACCCACCACCUGCACAUCCACAGACCCUGGGGAGAUUUGUAAAAACGGAUCCUUGGCCCAUCCUUGAAAGUUCUGAUUGAGUGGAUCUGGGUUGAGGCCCAUGAAAUUGUGUUUUUAAAACAUUCUCUACCGCAGAACAGUAUGUAUA